UUGUGCUUAAGGGUAGCUUCAUCAAAUAAAGUAAAAAUACAUGGUAAAAAGACCCAUCUUUUUCACCCCGCAGAAUUCACCCCGAUUUCAAGCCCUGUCGGCGGUCGCCAUGGCGGAACCGCCGCCGCCCCUGCCGCAUCUUCUCCUACCCACCGAAGAUCCUCCUCUCCUGGCUGUCUUUCCUGCCGCCGCCGGACAUGUAGCCGCCGCCCCUCCCUCAUCUUCUCCCGUUGCGGCCGGUCGUGAAGAUGCAGCUCCCGCCGCCGGCGGCCGUGCAGUCGCCGAUCCCGUCGCCUCCGGCCGUGAAGCUGCAGAUCCCGUCGCCGCCGGCCCUGUAGAUGUUGUUCCUCCCGUCGCCGGCGCAACAGCUUCUGCUCCUCCCGUCGCCGGCCCUGCAGCUGCUGCUCCCGCCUCCACCGCCCCUGUAGUUGCUGCUCCCGUCGCCCCCCCGCACUGUAGUUGUGGAUCCGGCUGCCACCGCGCUGCACCGGCUACUGGACCUCGAGCUCCAGCCGGUGGACCUCCAUCCAACGCCCCUACAGCUGCAGGACCUCGAGCUCCAGUUGCCUCCCUCAUAGGCACUGGACCCCCAGCUCCAGGCGCCUCCCUCACUGCCGGUGAGGAUGUGGCUUCUUCGACAUCUCCUCAAUCCCCACCACGAAUUCCUGCAGUAAGGUAGAGAUGCACAAGAGUGGUGAUGAGCAUAGCAAGAGCAAGAGAAGAAAAGGACAACAUCAAUGCCUAAUUUGCAAAGACUAUGGUCAUGGAUGGAAAGGUUGCAAAAAUGCCGAUCUAGAUGCAAAAGAAGCUAAUGCUGAUGUCGCAAAAGAAAGAAGGAAAAAAGAAACAAGUCCAAAGCUGCAGCAAGGAGUGGUGACAGUAAUAUUCAAGCAAUUAAAGGUACUCAACCAUCACUAGGUCUUCCAUGUCCAACUAGCAACCCAAGUGAAGUAGAUGUGGUGAAGUCAACAUCAUCAAAGACUACAUCAUCUAAAUCUUUGAGGUCAAAAACUGGUUCAAAUUAAAUUGAGAACACCUCAAUGGAAAUUGUGUCAACACCAAAGCGACGCAACUGCAAGUCGAAGGCAAAGGUGAUACCACCAGCAGCGGACAUCCCCGCAAUGGCCACUCGAAGCAAGAAAAGGUAACCAAACAGCCCUGUUAUGGCCACUCGUAGCAAGAAGAAGCUGAAAGUGUGAAUUUGUUUCUUUCUAUCACAUUGUGGACUUGUUUUCUUGCACUGGACAUUGUUCUCUCUUUUGUGCACUUCAAUUUCAUGUACUGGACUUUGAGUACCAUGUCUAUUUGGAGACCUAGUGCUGGUUGAGUGCCUAUAUAUUGAGUACCUCUUUUGUGCACUUCAAUUUCUUGUACUGAACUAUGGAAAUAUAUUGUUGUCAUGCUUAUAAUA